GGUUAAGCGACUAAGCGUACACGGUGGAUGCCCUGGCAGUCAGAGGCGAUGAAGGACGUGCUAAUCUGCGAAAAGCGUCGGUAAGGUGAUAUGAACCGUUAUAACCGGCGAUGUCCGAAUGGGGAAACCCAGUGCAAUUCGUUGCACUAUCGUUAACUGAAUACAUAGGUUAACGAGGCGAACCGGGGGAACUGAAACAUCUAAGUACCCCGAGGAAAAGAAAUCAACCGAGAUUCCCCCAGUAGCGGCGAGCGAACGGGGAGCAGCCCAGAGUCUGAAUCAGCUUGUGUGUUAGUGGAACGGUCUGGAAAGUCCGACGGUACAGGGUGAUAGUCCCGUACACCAAAAUGCACAGGCUGUGAACUCGAAGAGUAGGGCGGGACACGUGGUAUCCUGUCUGAAUAUGGGGGGACCAUCCUCCAAGGCUAAAUACUCCUGACUGACCGAUAGUGAACCAGUACCGUGAGGGAAAGGCGAAAAGAACCCCGGCGAGGGGAGUGAAAAAGAACCUGAAACCGUGUACGUACAAGCAGUGGGAGCACCUUCGGGUGUGACUGCGUACCUUUUGUAUAAUGGGUCAGCGACUUAUAUUCUGUAGCAAGGUUAACCGUAUAGGGGAGCCGCAGGGAAACCGAGUCUUAACUGGGCGUUAAGUUGCAGGGUAUAGACCCGAAACCCGGUGAUCUAGCCAUGGGCAGGUUGAAGGUUGGGUAACACUAACUGGAGGACCGAACCGACUAAUGUUGAAAAAUUAGCGGAUGACUUGUGGCUGGGGGUGAAAGGCCAAUCAAACCGGGAGAUAGCUGGUUCUCCCCGAAAGCUAUUUAGGUAGCGCCUCGUGAAUUCAUCUUCGGGGGUAGAGCACUGUUUCGGCUAGGGGGUCAUCCCGACUUACCAACCCGAUGCAAACUACGAAUACCGAAGAAUGUUAUCACGGGAGACACACGGCGGGUGCUAACGUCCGUCGUGAAGAGGGAAACAACCCAGACCGCCAGCUAAGGUCCCAAAGUCAUGGUUAAGUGGGAAACGAUGUGGGAAGGCACAGACAGCCAGGAUGUUGGCUUAGAAGCAGCCAUCAUUUAAAGAAAGCGUAAUAGCUCACUGGUCGAGUCGGCCUGCGCGGAAGAUGUAACGGGGCUAAACCAUGCACCGAAGCUGCGGCAGCGACACUAUGUGUUGUUGGGUAGGGGAGCGUUCUGUAAGCCUGCGAAGGUGACCUGUGAGGGUUGCUGGAGGUAUCAGAAGUGCGAAUGCUGACAUAAGUAACGAUAAAGCGGGUGAAAAGCCCGCUCGCCGGAAGACCAAGGGUUCCUGUCCAACGUUAAUCGGGGCAGGGUGAGUCGACCCCUAAGGCGAGGCCGAAAGGCGUAGUCGAUGGGAAACAGGUUAAUAUUCCUGUACUUGGUGUUACUGCGAAGGGGGGACGGAGAAGGCUAUGUUAGCCGGGCGACGGUUGUCCCGGUUUAAGCAUGUAGGCUG
rnacentral:rRNA from 1 species